ensembl:snRNA U6 U6 spliceosomal RNA
UCCAUUGGGCAUGAUAUCCAUUAAAAUUGGAACAAUACAGAAAAGAGCAGCAUGGUUCCUGAGCAAGGAUGAAAUGUAAGUUCACAAACUGUUCUAUAUUGAU